rnacentral:rRNA from 1 species
GACAGAGGGUGCAAACGUUGUUCGGAUUUACUGGGCGUAAAGCGCGUGUAGGCGGCCUUGCAAGUUGGAUGUGAAAGCCCACGGCUCAACCGUGGAAGCGCAUCCAAAACUGCAUCGCUCGAGUCUCGGAGAGGAAGGUGGAAUGCUUGGUGUAGAGGUGAAAUUCGUAGAUAUCGAGAGGAACACCGGUGGCGAAGGCGGCUUUCUGGACGAUAACUGACGCUGAGACGCGAAAGCGUGGGGAGCAAACAGG